rnacentral:rRNA from 1 species
UACCUGGUUGAUCCUGCCAGUAGUCAUAUGCUCGUCUCAAAGACUAAGCCAUGCAUGUCUAAGUACGUGCCGAAACAAGGUGAAACCGCGAAUGGCUCAUUAAAUCAGUUAUGGUUCCUUAGAUCGUCCACUUCCACAUGGAUAACUGUGGCAAUUCUAGAGCUAAUACAUGCUAGUGGCCCCGACCUUCGGGAAGGGGCGCUUUUAUUAGACCAAGACCAAUCGGGCUUCGGCUCGUCAAUAUGGUGACUCUGGAUAACUUUGGGCCGACCGCACGAUCUCGCAUCGGCGGUCAUUCUUUCAAGUGUCUGCCUUAUCAACUUUCGAUGGUAGGUUACGCGCCUACCAUGGUUGUUACGGGUAACGGGGAAUCAGGGUUCGAUUCCGGAGAGGGCGCCUGAGAAACGGCGACCACAUCCAAGGAAGGCAGCAGGCGCGCAAAUUACCCACUCCCGGCACGGGGAGGUAGUGACGAAAAAUAACAAUACGGGACUCUUUUGAGGCCCCGUAAUUGGAAUGAGUACACUCUAAAUCCUUUAACGAGGAUCCAUUGGAGGGCAAGUCUGGUGCCAGCAGCC